rnacentral:rRNA from 1 species
ACAUAAGACAUGCAAGUCGAACGGACUUAACCAUUAGUUUACUAUUGGAGCGGUUAGUGGCGGACUGGUGAGUAACACGUAAGCAACCUGCCUAUCAGAGGGGAACAACAGUUAGAAAUGACUGCUAAUACCGCAUAUGCCUUAAUUACCACAUGGUAAUAGAGGGAAAGAAGCAAUCCGCUGAUAGAUGGGCUUGCGUCUGAUUAGAUAGUUGGUAAGGUAACGGCUUACCAAGUCGACGAUCAGUAGCCGGACUGAGGGGUUGAACGGCCACAUUGGGACUGAGAUACGGCCCAGACUCCUACGGGAGGCAGCAGUCGGGAAUAUUGCGCAAUGGAGGAAACUCUGACGCAGUGACGCCGCGUGCAGGAAGAAGGUUUUCGGAUUGUAAACUGCUUUAGACAGGGAAGAAACAAGACAGUACCUGUAGAAUAAGCUCCGGCUAACUACGUGCCAGCAGCCGCGGUAAUACGUAGGGAGCAAGCGUUAUCCGGAUUUAUUGGGUGUAAAGGGUGCGUAGACGGGAAUGCAAGUUGGUUGUGAAAUCCCUCGGCUCAACCGAGGAAUUGCAACCAAAACUAUAUUUCUUGAGUGCUGGAGAGGAAAGUGGAAUUCCUAGUGUAGCGGUGAAAUGCGUAGAUAUUAGGAGGAACACCAGUGGCGAAGGCGACUUUCUGGACAGUAACUGACGUUGAGGCACGAAAGUGUGGGGAGCAAACAGGAUUAGAUACCCUGGUAGUCCACACCGUAAACGAUGGAUACUAGGUGUAGGGGAUGAAUAAUCUUCUGUGCCGUCGCAAACGCAGUAAGUAUCCCACCUGGGGAGUACGGCCGCAAGGUUGAAACUCAAAGGAAUUGACGGGGGCCCGCACAAGCAGUGGAGUAUGUGGUUUAAUUCGACGCAACGCGAAGAACCUUACCAGGGCUUGACAUAUACAUGAAAAUCUAAGAGAUUAGAUCCCUCUUCGGAGCAUGUAUACAGGUGGUGCAUGGUUGUCGUCAGCUCGUGUCGUGAGAUGUUGGGUUAAGUCCCGCAACGAGCGCAACCCCUGUUCUUAGUUGCCAGCAUGUAAAGAUGGGAACUCUAAGAAGACUGCCGGUGAUAAAUCGGAGGAAGGUGGGGACGACGUCAAAUCAUCAUGCCCUUUAUGUCCUGGGCUACACACGUACUACAAUGGCUGUAACAAAGGGAAGCGAACCCGCGAGGGGAAGCAAAACCCAUAAAAGCAGUCUCAGUUCGGAUUGAAGGCUGAAAUUCGCCUUCAUGAAGCCGGAAUUGCUAGUAAUGGCAGGUCAGCAUACUGCCGUGAAUACGUUCCCGGGCCUUGUACACACCGCCCGUCACACCAUGAGAGUUUGUAACACCCGAAGCCGGUGGAGUAACCUUUUAGGAGCUAGCCGUCGAAGGUGGGACAAAUGAUUGGGGUGAAAU